GUCAUUAAUCGUUGAUGAUUCAUAUCAAGUUUAUCAUUUUCUAUACUUGCUCAGCAAGAAGAUUGGUGCUUGAGCACUUUAUCAAAUCUUCUCUAUAAAGGUCCUUGUAAAGAAAUUUUCACAUCUUUCUAUAAUACUUUAUCUUGAUUAUAACAUACGUAUAUAUGUUCAUUUAUUUAUUAAAUGUUACUCAUAUAGUUUGACGGAAGCUGUGCUGUAUUUUGAUGGUCUAGGAAGACUGUGAGGAUAAGCGUCGUUUAUUACACUUGAUGAAUAUUGGCAUGUUUACUAAGGUCCAUCAUCGAACACACUUGACAUACACUUAGAGCACCAUCGCAACCCACUUUCUUGCUAAGCGAGUGCCAAGGGAUAGAGUUGAAAAGGAGUCAACUUGAAUAUGAUCCAAACUAUUGGUUUUUCUAUACUAGCUAUGCAUUUCAAUACGUAUGCAAUACUCACAAAAGCAGUAAAAGCAUACUUGAUAUCAAGUAACCGAGUACAGUAAUGUGUGUUAUGCAAAGCAUUUUUACCCAAAGAGUUUUGAAGAAAAAUUAAGAAAUGGACAGCGCUGUGGUCAAGGCUUUGAAAAUACUGUCAGGAAAAUGAUGAAUUACAAUAAUAAUAGUAAUCGGCCCCACCGUUCAGACAACCCAACCAAAAGCUUAAGGUUCCAAUUAAUCAACGUAAGAGCUUGAGUUGUAUCCAAGCAGGAUGUAGUCAGUGGCAGCCUGACCAUUUACCAGAAAAUGAAGACGAGACAACUCAAGAAGAAAAAAGAGUAUGGUUAUUAUCUUAUAACUUAUACGAUCAAACUGAUCCUCCAAUGUUAGAAGUAAUCAAAGUAAAUUUUUGUAACUCAUACGUAACUCAAAGAUUGUUUUUAAAUGACAUCAGUAAAGAAAAAUAUUUAUUACCUUAAGUUCGUGAGGUAUGGCCAUGUCUUACACAUAAACCAUUUAUUUUUUGGCAUUACGAAAAAUUGACUGGUCACACAAUAGACGAAAUUGCUGUUAAUAUUAAAGAUGACGUUCCCAGAAUUUUGUCUUAUGGGAUUAUGAAAAGAUUGACAGACAUAAAUUUCACCGAUACAAGUGAGGAAAAUCAAUUUUUUGAAGCAAACAUUUCAAAGAACAAUUGGAUACAUUGAUUAUUCGAUGUCCUGCAGGUACGGAGAGCUUCGAAACAGGUCAAAAUCCAGGUCCACAAUUAUGUAUCAUAGAUAACGAACCAUCAGAAUAUAUCAUUAUAUUAAAUAAAGAUAUUAUUGAGUAUGCAAGUAACUACGUUGAAGCUCUGCAAUUUUUAAUUUCACUGUACUUUGUUUUUAACCGACCAUAUCCAGAUGCUCAUAACAUCUAUUAGAAUUUGUACAAAUGAAAUUUUGCAACAUUUUUUCCUCUGACGCAACAAGAUCUACAUCAAAAACAGUAACUAGCAAAGUACUUACUCUCUUCAACAAACUAAACAAAGUUGUUCUCGGAGACGUUGUUAAUGUAAAUUAGUACUUUACUUUUCGACGGUUCAUUUUUGUAAUUUCUAUAA